CCUACGGGAGGCAGCAGUGGGGAAUAUUGCGCAAUGGGCGAAAGCCUGACGCAGCGACGCCGCGUGAGGGAUGAAGGCCUUCGGGUUGUAAACCUCUUUCAGCAGGGACGAAAUCAGACGGUACCUGCAGAAGAAGCACCGGCCAACUACGUGCCAGCAGCCGCGGUAAUACGUAGGGUGCAAGCGUUGUCCGGAAUUAUUGGGCGUAAAGAGCUCGUAGGCGGUUUGUCGCGUCGGCUGUGAAAACUCGGGGCUCAACCCCGAGCCUGCAGUCGAUACGGGCAGACUAGAGUGCUGUAGGGGAGACUGGAAUUCCUGGUGUAGCGGUGAAAUGCGCAGAUAUCAGGAGGAACACCGGUGGCGAAGGCGGGUCUCUGGGCAGUAACUGACGCUGAGGAGCGAAAGCGUGGGGAGCAAACAGGAUUAGAUACCCUGGUAGUCCACGCCGUAAACGGUGGGUGCUAGGUGUAGGUCGUAUUCCACGCGAUCUGUGCCGCAGUUAACGCAUUAAGCACCCCGCCUGGGGAGUACGGCCGCAAGGCUAAAACUCAAAUGAAUUGACGG
rnacentral:rRNA from 1 species